rnacentral:rRNA from 1 species
AUCCUGGCUCAGAUUGAACGCUGGCGGCAUGCUUUACACAUGCAAGUCGAACGGCAGCGCGGGGCAACCUGGCGGCGAGUGGCGAACGGGUGAGUAAUAUAUCGGAACGUACCCAAGAGUGGGGGAUAACGUAGCGAAAGUUACGCUAAUACCGCAUACGAUCCAAGGAUGAAAGCAGGGGAUCUUCGGACCUUGUGCUCCUGGAGCGGCCGAUAUCUGAUUAGCUAGUUGGUGAGGUAAAGGCUCACCAAGGCGACGAUCAGUAGCUGGUCUGAGAGGACGACCAGCCACACUGGGACUGAGACACGGCCCAGACUCCUACGGGAGGCAGCAGUGGGGAAUUUUGGACAAUGGGCGCAAGCCUGAUCCAGCAAUGCCGCGUGAGUGAAGAAGGCCUUCGGGUUGUAAAGCUCUUUUGUCAGGGAAGAAACGGCCGGGGCUAAUAUCCUCGGCUAAUGACGGUACCUGAAGAAUAAGCACCGGCUAACUACGUG